GGGAAAUACCGCAUAACAAUUUGAAUCGCAUGAUUCAAAUUUAAAAGAUGGUUUCGGCUAUCACUUUGGGAUGGACCUGCGGCGCAUUAGCUUGUUGGUAGGGUAACGGCCUACCAAGGCUGUGAUGCGUAGCCGAGUUGAGAGACUGAUCGGCCACAAUGGAACUGAGACACGGUCCAUACUCCUACGGGAGGCAGCAGUAGGGAAUCUUCCACAAUGGGCGCAAGCCUGAUGGAGCAACACCGCGUGAGUGAAGAAGGGUUUCGGCUCGUAAAGCUCUGUUGUUAGAGAAGAACGUGCGUGAGAGCAACUGUUCACGCAGUGACGGUAUCUAACCAGAAAGUCACGGCUAACUACGUGCCAGCAGCCGCGGUAAUACGUAGGUGGCAAGCGUUAUCCGGAUUUAUUGGGCGUAAAGCGAGCGCAGGCGGUUUGAUAAGUCUGAUGUGAAAGCCUUUGGCUUAACCAAAGAAGUGCAUCGGAAACUGUCAGACUUGAGUGCAGAAGAGGACAGUGGAACUCCAUGUGUAGCGGUGGAAUGCGUAGAUAUAUGGAAGAACACCAGUGGCGAAGGCGGCUGUCUGGUCUGCAACUGACGCUGAGGCUCGAAAGCAUGGGUAGCGAACAGGAUUAGAUACCCUGGUAGUCCAUGCCGUAAACGAUGAGUGCUAGGUGUUGGAGGGUUUCCGCCCUUCAGUGCCGCAGCUAACGCAUUAAGCACUCCGCCUGGGGAGUACGACCGCAAGGUUGAAACUCAAAGGAAUUGACGGGGGCCCGCACAAGCGGUGGAGCAUGUGGUUUAAUUCGAAGCUACGCGAAGAACCUUACCAGGUCUUGACAUCUUGCGCCAACCCUAGAGAUAGGGCGUUUCCUUCGGGAACGCAAUGACAGGUGGUGCAUGGUCGUCGUCAGCUCGUGUCGUGAGAUGUUGGGUUAAGUCCCGCAACGAGCGCAACCCUUGUUACUAGUUGCCAGCAUUCAGUUGGGCACUCUAGUGAGACUGCCGGUGACAAACCGGAGGAAGGUGGGGACGACGUCAGAUCAUCAUGCCCCUUAUGACCUGGGCUACACACGUGCUACAAUGGACGGUACAACGAGUCGCGAACUCGCGAGGGCAAGCUAAUCUCUUAAAAUAG
rnacentral:rRNA from 1 species